GAAAACGGGUGGUAAUGCCGGAUGCUCCAGUUGAUCGCAUGGUCUUCUGGGAAAGCUUUCGCGGUAUGGGAUGGGGUCGCGUCCUAUCAGCUUGACGGCGGGGUAACGGCCCACCGUGGCUUCGACGGGUAGCCGGCCUGAGAGGGCGACCGGCCACAUUGGGACUGAGAUACGGCCCAGACUCCUACGGGAGGCAGCAGUGGGGAAUAUUGCACAAUGGGCGCAAGCCUGAUGCAGCGACGCCGCGUGAGGGAUGGAGGCCUUCGGGUUGUAAACCUCUUUUAUCGGGGAGCAAGCGAGAGUGAGUUUACCCGUUGAAUAAGCACCGGCUAACUACGUGCCAGCAGCCGCGGUAAUACGUAGGGUGCAAGCGUUAUCCGGAAUUAUUGGGCGUAAAGGGCUCGUAGGCGGUUCGUCGCGUCCGGUGUGAAAGUCCAUCGCUUAACGGUGGAUCCGCGCCGGGUACGGGCGGGCUUGAGUGCGGUAGGGGAGACUGGAAUUCCCGGUGUAACGGUGGAAUGUGUAGAUAUCGGGA
rnacentral:rRNA from 1 species